UCUCCGUUGGUGAACCAGCGGAGGGAUCAUUACCGAGUUUACAACUCCCAAACCCAAUGUGAACGUUACCAAACUGUUGCCUCGGCGGGAUCUCUGCCCCGGGUGCGUCGCAGCCCCGGACCAAGGCGCCCGCCGGAGGACCAACCAAAACUCUUUAUGUAUACCCCCUCGCGGGUUUUUUUACAAUCUGAGCCAUCUCGGCGCCCCUCGUGGGCGUUUCGAAAAUGAAUCAAAACUUUCAACAACGGAUCUCUUGGUUCU
rnacentral:misc_RNA from 1 species